CUAAUGCGCUUUUUGGACAACUUUUUAUAGCUCAGAUGAAGGAAGAACGAAAUAAGGAGGCUACUUUUCUUAUUUCAGCCUUCAAGGUGAAGAAGUGGAUAAAGAAUCUAAACUGACACCUUAUGGUGAAAAAAUUAGUCGAGGUAUGUGGUGAUGGAAAUAUCACAAUUAGCCUGGCACUAUUGUCUUUGAGCUACUGGAAGAUGAUCAAUGUGGUUCUUUACAAACUAAAAUUGAAGGAUAUAGCAGUCCAGAUGCCAAGUCAAACCCUUUACAAGACCCUCGGACUAGCUUUGGAUUCGGAACGCAAGUCAUGGUUUUCUUUUGAAUUGAUGUAGUUCAGAAUUUGAGUUAAAUAGGUACUUAUUUACCUUAUGCUAUCCUCGGUUACUUGUUACUUUUUCUAAAGAAACUUAACUGAUACAAAUUCCCCAAUUUAUUCGACCAAAAAAAUUUUUGCUUUUGUUUUUAAUUGGACCUAUAAUACAA